rnacentral:rRNA from 1 species
UACGUAGGGUGCGAGCGUUAAUCGGAAUUACUGGGCGUAAAGCGUGCGCAGGCGGUUUUGUAAGCCAGAUGUGAAAUCCCCGGGCUUAACCUGGGAAUGGCAUUUGGGACUGCAAGGCUUGAGUGCGGCAGAGGAGACUGGAAUUCCUGGUGUAGCAGUGAAAUGCGUAGAUAUCAGGAGGAACACCGGUGGCGAAGGCGGAUCUCUGGGCCAUUACUGACGCUGAGGAGCGAAAGCGUGGGGAGCGAACAGG